GCUGGUUUGGCUCAGUGGAUAGAGCUUUGGCUUGUGGACUCAAUGGUCCUAGGUUCAAUUCCUGUCAAGAGCA
rnacentral:tRNA from 1 species